rnacentral:lncRNA from 1 species
GACAUUCUGAAAGCGGAAGAUGCACCCCGCGUGAAGGCACUUUUAAAAGCAUCCUUUAUCAUGAGGAGCACGUCACCAGUGGCGGUAUUACCGGCUUAUCUCCUAAACGAAGAACUGCUUGCCUUUGAAAGUGAACUGAGAUUUUCAAGCACUAUGGAGGAGAAUGUCAAGCGCCUCAGCAAAAUUCUGCUUGCAGUGGCGACAGUGUCGUCCUUAGCGGACCCAUCGUACACAGAGGUGGAUGCGUACCUGAGGCCAAGGCUCGCAAAAUGGCCCUAAUUUCAGAGGUUUCACCCGCGGACAUUAUUGGC